UUUUUUUAAUUAUAACACGAUAUGUAACCAGUGACUACACCAUCCUAAGCGACCACAGAAAUUAUGUAUAUCGUAUACCAUAUAUUAAUAGUUCUGAGUCGCGUAACUGGCAGAGCGAUCCGUCCUAGCUAUUGGAUACGGGCAUCGAGUCAGCUCGAAAUAUGGGAGAUGAGAUACUCAAAAAUGUAUGUACACAUAGGAUAUGGUUUAAUCUGGGGGUUUACCGUGAAAUUCAAUAUUACUGUAUUUUCGGGCUCAA